rnacentral:rRNA from 1 species
AGCAGCCGCGGUAAUUCCAGCUCCAAUAGCGUAUAUUAAAGUUGUUGCAGUUAAAAAGCUCGUAGUUGAAUUUUAGGCCUGGCCAGGCGGUCCGUCUUUGGCGAGUACUGUCUUGUGUCGGGUCUUCCUUCUGGUGAACCUGUAUGUCCUUUAUUGGGUGUGCUGGGGAGCCAGGACCAUUACCUUGAAAAAAUUAGAGUGUUUAAAGCGGGCUAUUGCUUGAAUAGAUUAGCAUGGAAUAAUAGAAUAGGACGUUGUGGUUCUAUUUUGUUGGUUUCUAGGACCACCGUAAUGAUUAAUAGGGAUAGUUGGGGGCAUUAGUAUUCAAUUGUCAGAGGUGAAAUUCUUGGAUUUAUUGAAGACUAACUACUGCGAAAGCAUUUGCCAAGGAUGUUUUCAUUAAUCAAGAACGAAAGUUAGGGGAUCGAAGACGAUCAGAUACCGUCGUAGUCUUAACCAUAAACUAUGCCGACUAGGAAUCGGGCGACGUUAUUUUCAUGACUCGCUCGGCGCCUUAUGG